UGGAAACAGAUGCUAAUACCGCAUAAAUCCAAGAACCGCAUGGUUCUUGGCUGAAAGAUGGCGUAAGCUAUCGCUUUUGGAUGGACCCGCGGCGUAUUAGCUAGUUGGUGAGGUAACGGCUCACCAAGGCAAUGAUACGUAGCCGAACUGAGAGGUUGAUCGGCCACAUUGGGACUGAGACACGGCCCAAACUCCUACGGGAGGCAGCAGUAGGGAAUCUUCCACAAUGGACGCAAGUCUGAUGGAGCAACGCCGCGUGAGUGAAGAAGGCUUUCGGGUCGUAAAACUCUGUUGUUGGAGAAGAAUGGUCGGCAGAGUAACUGUUGUCGGCGUGACGGUAUCCAACCAGAAAGCCACGGCUAACUACGUGCCAGCAGCCGCGGUAAUACGUAGGUGGCAAGCGUUAUCCGGAUUUAUUGGGCGUAAAGCGAGCGCAGGCGGUUUUUUAAGUCUGAUGUGAAAGCCCUCGGCUUAACCGAGGAAGUGCAUCGGAAACUGGGAAACUUGAGUGCAGAAGAGGACAGUGGAACUCCAUGUGUAGCGGUGAA
rnacentral:rRNA from 1 species